rnacentral:tRNA from 1 species
GAGGAAGUGGCAGAGAGGACAUGUGCCUGGCUUGAAACCAGUGUAAGGGGGUUCGAGUCCCUCCUUUCUCG